GAAUAUUGGACAAUGGGCGAAAGCCUGAUCCAGCAAUGCCGCGUGCAGGAUGAAGGCCUUCGGGUUGUAAACUGCUUUUGUACGGAACGAAAAGCUUUGGGUUAAUACCCUGGAGUCAUGACGGUACCGUAAGCAUAAGCACAGGCUAACUACGUUCCAGCAGACGAGGUAAUACGUAAGGUGCAAGCGUUAAGCGGAAUUACUGGGCGGAAAGCGGGCGCAGGCUGUUUUGUAAGACAGGGGGGAAAUCCCCGGGCUAAACCUGGGAACUGCAUUUGUGACUGUAUAGCUAGAGUACGGUAGAGGGGGGUGGAAUUCCGCGUGUAGCAGUGAAAUGCGUAGAUAUGCGGAGGAACACCGAUGGCGAAGGCAACCCCCUGGGCCUGUACUGACGCUCAUGCACGAAAGCGUGGGGAGCAAACAGG
rnacentral:rRNA from 1 species